rnacentral:rRNA from 1 species
UAGGGAAUCUUCGGCAAUGGGGGGAACCCUGACCGAGCAACGCCGCGUGAGUGAAGAAGGUUUUCGGAUCGUAAAACUCUGUUGUUAAGGAAGAACGAGUGUGAGAAUGGAAAGUUCAUGCUGUUACGGUACUUAACCAGAAAGGGACGGCUAACUACGUGCCAGCAGCCGCGGUAAUACGUAGGUCCCGAGCGUUGUCCGGAUUUAUUGGGCGUAAAGCGAGCGCAGGCGGUUAGAUAAGUCUGAAGUUAAAGGCAGUGGCUCAACCAUUGUAGGCUUUGGAAACUGUUUAACUUGAGUGCAGAAGGGGGGAGUGGAAUUCCAUGUGUAGCGGUGAAAUGCGUAGAUAUAUGGAGGAACACCGGUGGCGAAAGCGGCUCUCUGGUCUGUAACUGACGCUGAGGCUCGAAAGCGUGGGGAGCGAACAGG